UAAUGCCUCCAUUUUUUAUUUUUUUGAGCUGAUUUAUUUAGUGAGGCAAACCGAUGUCCUUUCAAUGCUCCCCCUUUGCUUCUUCUAGCACAAGCUCCGGCUCUCCUCUUCUUUUUUAUGCUAUGAUAUGUUGUUGAUUUGGGCUUUUAUGUUUCGCAGCUUUAGGGUUUUUCUUGGGUGGCUCCAUGUUUCCCUCUUAUUUGUAUCACAUAAAUAUAAGAUGAUUAGUCUCUCUUUUAUAAAAACAAUUACUUUCGAGUAAAAGAUAUAUCGUACUUUGAAAAUUUCCUUUUUUCACACAUACAUCAAUUUCAAACUUACUCUUCUAUGUUUACAGUUGUGAAUCCUCUGAAGUCCGAGUAGCUCCGUGAUUCAGCCCUUAUCCUUCAAGUCUUCAUAUAAAGACUCUUGUGUCCUCCCUUUUCUUUUCCAAUGUUGACCCUCUAUCCAUAGCAAGAGAGAAAACCCUAGGUAGCAUCAUCCUUAAUCAAACAAGAAAGAAAAGAAAGAAAGAAAAAAGAGGGGAAAAGGGGUUGUUUUCCCUUAUAUCUUUGGGCCUGUACUUGGAACCUUGAUGAGCUUGUGGUUGCGGCUACGACUGAGAUCUUCUGCUCUCAUGGAGAGGAAAAUGAUGAGUCCCCUCUCUCUCUCUCUCUCUCAUGUAUGGCAUUGCGUGUAGGUGUCGAAAGAAUGUUGUGCAGCCAAGGAUGACUUGCCGACUCUCUUUCUUCUCAUUUACUUGGAUUGGAUCUCUCUCCGUGUAUGUUGAAUUAAUGGAAUUAUGAAGUUGGCAAGUGGUCCUUGGCUACAUACUUCUUUCUGCUCCACAUGCCAGGCCAUUGGUGAUACUUACGGUCACAGAUGAAUCGCCGGCUUCGAGUUCCGAUCCAUAUUUGCCCAAGAUUGCUCGAGAGAUCAGUGUGAUACGACCCAAAAUCAGAAUGAGGAAGAAAAAGAUAUCUUGAUGUAAGUCGAUUAUUCCUUGCAUCAUUGGUGUUGCUGCAUCUUGAGGCCGAGAAGAUGUCCUGAUCGCAUCUCUCUCAAGCCAUUGUCUAAGGGCUUCAUACUCCUUGAGAAAGUAAGAUACCAAGCAUGAAUCCCCUCUGAUACUACUUGUUUGAUAAAGGGAUACCUUUUGUCUGAACUACAAUGAUACAAAAGCCACAAAAGUUGUCAAUCUUGUUUGAGAAUGAAUGUGCUUAUUGAGUUAUCGAGAGGUAUGUGGAGAUCAAUAGUUAUGAAUUGUUACCAUUCCCUACGGCAUUGCAAUACAUAGUUGGUGAAGAAGAAAGAAUGAGAUCAUCUUCUCCCAAUUCCCUCUCCGUCAAUGUGUGUGUCUUAUACAUUAAUUGUAGUGCUCACUUCUGAUUAAGUAUGCUUUUGGAUCGCUUGCUGCAAUCUCAUCUGUGGCUAACUAUAAAUUUUCGUCCAAACUGUGUUUAUUUACCGGUGACUCAAAAGGCUUGAGACAUUGUAUUUAAAUUCUGAAGAAAUAUUUCAUUCUUUUGUCAAUCACCAGGUCAGGUCCUUUUUGUCUCUAGUUCUUGGUCAAGAACAGGUAUUAUUGCUAAUUAGGGAACCUGGACUUAGUAGAGAAUUGGGUUUACGAACAUUUUGAUCGUUGAUGAGGAGAAAAUGCAGCGUCCAAUCAUCUUCUUUCUCAUCUAUUGGCGUCGAAUUGGUUUGGACACUGUGGAACUUUGUUGGAGUACUUGCUGUGUUAUAAAUAGUUUUGCUGAUUUUGGGCCAAGAAGGAAUUAGCCUAUAACACGUUUCUAACUUAGUACACUAUAGCUGAUAUAACUCAAGAAGGUCCCUUUUUGUUGGGAUCUCUCGACAGCAAAGUAAUUUUCAGGAGAUCAAAUCGUCCACAAUGAAAAAGAGUUAAUUGUCUUCAGAAAUGUGUUGCAAGUAUAGGGAAAAGGUGAGACUGGACUGCAUCAGACGCGGACUGCAUUGCUAGUUCAGAUUUCAUACUUCAAGAACUACUGUUGAGAAUGAUGUUUCCCCUACAAUCACACGAUUUAUGGAAUCGUGUGUUGUAUCUCUCUGCCUGUGAAGUCUCUCCAGUUCAUUUCUUGUGGGUCUGUGGUGCAUGAUCACGUUGUCUUCUCGCAUUUUUCUUCUGCUUAGUCUCGGCUUAUCACAGGAGCGAUGAUCGAGUAGGGUCCAAAACGCUUAUGCGGCAACAGGUUUUAAGCCAUCAAUCUAUUUAUUUAUGCUUUAUACCGCAUCUCUAGAACUAUAUGUUUUGUUAAGGUUUAACAUUCGGGAUUGACCCGUUUAAUCAAUAAAAAGGACUUUGAUUAGUCUUAUUAUGAU